GACGAACCGAGCGAACGUUGUUCGGAAUCACUGGGCUUAAAGGGCGCGUAGGCGGGCUGCCAAGUCCGUGGUGAAAUCCCCCGGCUCAACCGGGGAAGGGCCCCGGAUACUGGCGGCCUCGAGGGGGGUAGGGGCGUGCGGAACUGUGGGUGGAGCGGUGAAAUGCGUUGAUAUCCACAGGAACUCCGGUGGCGAAGGCGGCACGCUGGACCCCAUCUGACGCUGAGGCGCGAAAGCCAGGGGAGCGAACGGG
rnacentral:rRNA from 1 species